rnacentral:siRNA from 1 species
CAGCGACGGACCGGGCCUA